GAGCGUCUCGGACGGAUCUGGCUGAACUCUCUCGCUUUCUUCGCAAGGCGAAAAUGCUAGGCAGCCGUCAACAUUGUCGACUCGCCCUUGGUUACUAAUUUCGAUUAUUUUCUUCUGAUUUGAUUUGAUUUCUUGGUGAUGUUUUUGUGUUUUUGUUUUCGGAAACCUUUGGUUAGAUUAAUUUCUUUUUGUUUGAUUUCAUUUUUUGGUUAGCUUUUUGUGUUUUGUUUUCGAAAACCUUUUUGUUUUUUUAUGUAGAAGGAGAAUGAAAGGAUGAUUAUAUGUUUCCCUAUUGGUUUGAUCGCCGAGAUGAUGGCGAAUCUUUUGUAUUAGCUCUAUCUGAUUAUUCUCUUUAUUUUUUCGUUCUUGAUUUUUUUUUUUUCUGAAAAAUGGGAAUGCAAUUAGAUUUAAAAGACAGUAUUUGAGGGUGGAUCAUGAAUGCCAUUCGUCAGAUUGGCCAGAUGUAAUAGCUUUUUCGCAAUAGUAAUCCUCUGGUAAUACAGAAGAUUAUUGUUAUUAUUUUGUUUUUUAGUUUUAAUUUUUUUUAAGGAGGAGAGAAUGAUAUGAUGAAUGAAUUUGUUUCCCUAUUGGUUUGAUCGCCGGGAUGAUGGCGACAAAUAGUAUUAGCUCUAUCUGAUCAUUCUGUUCCUCCCUCUUGCGAUUUUUCAAUGUCUUAAAUGUUAAUAAAUCUUCGUUUCAAAAACCUAAUCGAGCUUUUCGGUCCUCUUUCGUUUUCAUCAAUUAUUUUUAUUUUUAUUUUUUGAUCACAUCCAUCCAUUUUUGUAUGGUUUUUUUUUAUGACAUCCAUAUGUAACAAGCCAAAUUUCAUCCCUUAUCCGAGUUACAACUAUUAAUCGAAUGACGAACGGCAUGUUGCAAUUAAUUAUUUUCAAAUUAUAAUUAAUACUAUACAAAAUUGUUUAAAGCAAGAAUAAGUAUGAUAUUUUUCAUCCUAAAAUAUCUUUGAAUUAGUAUUAAGUACACUGAUUCUCAAUAUAUAUAUAUAUUUCGAAGAAUACUGUAUGCAUUAUUAUUUGUUUCUUUAUUCUCAAAGUUUCAUUAAAAGUUUUUAUCUUUUCUUAUCAAUUUUGUGUACAAUUAUUUGUAUGCUAUCAAUAUUUUCCUAAAGUUCACAGCUAUUAAAGAUAGCCUUCAAGCAGACCCGGCCUAUUUAUUAAUCAUUUAGAUUAUUAUUAAAAAUGAGAAUUGGAAUAAAAAAAUUUAUUAUCAAAAAUUAAAUCUUCUUCUUCCUUUUAGUAGUAUGGUAAUUCCCGAUAUUUUAAUUCUACUCUAUUUUUAUUACCAUUUUCGCUCGCAGUUGUUUAAAAUGCAAAAUAGGAAUUUAAAUUGACUGGAGAAGUUGUAGGCAAGCGAGGGGAUUAAUGGCAUGUGCUAGAUGGUCCCAUUACUCUUUGUAUGGAUUUUUUUUAUUCAGAUGGAGGGUAUGUCUUCUUCACUAUGUUCAGUACUUCACUCCUUCAUUUGCUUCCAUACAUGUGAACUCAAAGGGUAUGUGAAAUACCCACUAUUAUUGCAAUGCCCAUACAUGCGAACAAAGGGUAUGUGUUAUACCCACUGUUAUUUGGAUUCAAAGCCCGUCAAUUCAUUGACUGCAACUUGAGCAAUAAUCUUCAAGUUCUUAUAAAGCUUAUAACCACCUAAAAUGUAAUUUGAUUCAAAAACUUGAACAAGCUCUAGCCUCAAGUGAUGCUUAUAGCCACCCAAUAAUGCCUUCCAUAUAACAGAUUAUGGUUUAAUUCUCAUGCUCCUUGUUAAUAACAAUGCAUCUUCAAGCAGACCAGCCUCGUCCAAAAGAUCAAUCAUGCUACCAUAGUGUUAAACCUGGAAAACGAGUCUUGCGUGAGUGUAGGCGUUUGGAAUAAUGGCCGGUGCUUCUUUUACAUAAUCAUGAAUUACAAGCCCAAGAGGUUGUUUCCUUAAAAAUAACCUUUAAGGGAUUUGCCAAAUGCCAUGGACUUAGUGAGUUCAAACCAUUUAAUGUUAUUAAGUUAAAAAGUUAGGAAGGCACAAGAAUGCUUUACAACUUUAGCAACGCUCUCAAAUGCUUGAUGUAUUUGCUCAAAUGAAAUCAUACCCUAUUUAUAAGCCAUAUGAAAUCAUACCCUAUUUACAAGCAUGAGUGAGUUUGUGAAAAAUUGAUUUUAAAAAAAGUUGGAGUUCAUGAAAUAAAAUCUUAAUAGUGACUCAUUUUGAAAGGAAAAACAUAUUUAUGAAAAAUUGAUUUUAGGUUCGAGGGUAAGUUACAUAUUAGGAAGGUAGUACUAUGGUAACAUUUCUUUAAACCUUAAAAAGGUUUCUACUAAUUAACUAGAAGGAAUUAAGACAAUUAGUUAAUAAAUUUAUGUAUAAGAGAUAUAAGUAACUCUUUAGAAAUCUCUACCCUUUCCCUUAUAUUCCAUCUUUGUGCAAAGAUUUGCAAAGGUCUUAAACUUCUAAAAUCUUCUACACUCCUCCGAUGGUGGAGGCAUAGAUGCCUCAAGGUGCUUCCAAAAGCUUCUUACCCCUUAUAUAAGCUCAAGGAAGGGUUGUGACACUAAGCUUUCACAAUUGGGAUGAGGUCCUACACUUAGUAUACAUGUUAGUUAGUGCAAACCCAUAUAGAGGUAUUUUCUUUCUUAAGCCAACAUAGAGAUGUAUUUCCUUUCAUAAGUCAAGUACUCAACCGGUACAAAUUGAAAUCACAAUUGUCAUGGUUACCUCGUCAGGGUUGAUCCCAUUAGUUUACCUCUUGGUAAAAAUUGCUAAAGCUUCUCUAUAUUGCUUGUUCUAAGAAUAGUAAGCGAUCAUGGUCGUCGAUGAAAUCAUAUCCUAUUAGAACUCAUAUUCCCAAUCUUAUCAUAAAUUGAAAUUAUAAUGAUUCAUUCAAAAACAACUUUCACAAAUUUCUCACCAAUUUUCUCAUCAAUUACCUCUUAACAUUUCCAUGCAAAUCCCUAUUCGCUUCACAAAUUUUACUAGCAUUCCCAUGCAAAUCAACCAAAGCAUUCUGAAUAAAUACGUGAGGAUAAAAUCCAUCUUUCUAAAUAUAACCAUGAAUAGCUUUUCUAAGCCCAGUGCAGAUACCAAACUGCAAGCCUUAUCUAAGGACGGAAAUGUAAAACUAGUGGGAAGACUUUGAGCUCCUAAUAUAUCAAAGGACUGAUCAUUGGAUUGUACACAAAAACAUUGGGCUCUUCGAGCAUGGAACAUUUCUUGAUUUUGUAGUUAAAGUUUUGCAUAUGUUUCAAAAAAAAAAAAUCUCACCCAUUUUCUAGAACAAACGGAGUUUAAAGUUUUCAAAAUUUUGACUAGAAAAGAGCCUCUGAUCAUAAAAUGUAUGAAAGUCUUGCAUUAUAAUUCUAUACACAAAAAGAAAAUUCAAAUUUAAAAUGAUCUAUUAAAAAAAACAAAGACAACAAAAAGCUCCAAAAAAAAAAGAAAAAGAAAAAGGCCAAAAGAAGAAACAACUUCAAAAUCCAGUAGAGUUCGAAAAUGCAAGAUUGAGGAUAGUUCAACAUACUGAAGUGAUUAGGAUUGAAAACUACCGAUACUUCUCCUCACAAACAUAGCAGAAAAGAGUCAAAUGUAGAUUUAUGACUUUAACUGGCUUGUGUCUUUUCAAAGUUGGUAAUUGUGGGAGGGUGAGGGCCAGUUGGCCAGAGCCUCCCCUCCAAACAAGCUGGAUGAUGAGUAUUUUACCUCUACUUUCUGAGGGAAAACUUGGGUUGCUCACCCACAUGGAGUAUGGAGCAUGAUGCCAGAGAAAGCCAAAGAAAUAAUUAUAGGUGAGCUGUCAAUUUGGAAAAUUCUAGAACCCAAUUUUGAAGAAUAUAAAAAUGACUUUGAUUAAAACUCUUGAGAAAUUUGCAUUUUAAACAGACAGACAACACAUGAUAUGUAAUGCUACUUGUAGAAACACUUUUUUUUUCUUUUUUUUCUCUUAUACUGCUAAUUUACUACUCAGAGAAACACUGGAACAAAAAAAUUCAAAAAACCCAUCAUUUUCUUUUCUUUAAGAGUGAAAACUCAAAGCUCCAAGUCCUAUCAUAGCACAGUGAGACCACUACUCAGUGUGUGUGUAUAUAUAUAUUUUCCCAAAAGCUUAUUCAAACCCACUUAAUAUGUAGCAAGAUUACCUCCUUAUUUCCCACUUCCAUCAAUUGCAUCUAACAUAUCAUCAUGUGUUUAUUAUUUAUCUUCCAACUUACCUUUACCGUUUACCACAUCUACCAAAUUAUCUCAACCUAAGAGUGCAAAGUUAUCUUUAGCCACCAAGGGAAUGGCGGGAUAUAGGUGUCUAAGCUUUGUGAUCAUCAUAAAACACCAAAGAAAAUUAGCAAGACUAGCUAGAUAGAUUAUAAGCCACCAGAGAAUCAAUUUUUUAAAAAUAAAAUAAUUUUGGUGAUGAUCAUAUAGAAAACCUUAAAUAUUGUCCUGGGCUGCUUUGGGUGUAGUCGGAAAGAUAGAUCCCACAAAAGGUUCCCCACUUUUGUGCUUACUAAACAUGGUUAGAUUGAAAUUGAACUCUAGUUUCUUUAUAAAUAAAUUGUAUCCAGGUUGCUGCAAACCAUAUCAACAUUGGUUACCAAAAUAGUUUCAAUAUCAGCAACCUACAAACAUUAAUUAUCAAUGACUCUGUUUUUCUUUUAUUUGGGUAGCAAAGACAGAAAAUUCUACAAUGCAGCUCUUGAUCGUUGCUUACAAUGAAUAUUGUAAGUAGAAGCAUGGAAUUAAAUAAUUAAUUCAUGGGUUCCUUCAAACACUUCUUAUUGAAGCCUAGAAUUAGAGGGGAACAAACAAGAUGUCUAAGAAGAACUUGUCAGAAGACUAGUUUCACACUGGACAUGAGCCUAGGUGUCUUGACCCAUGGAAGACAUGAUUGAGGCCUACCCAUGAGCCCAACAUUAAUUGGUUGCAGCAGACAGUACUAGUGUUAGAACCAUGGUAUUAAUUGGCCAUAACCGAUUACAACACCUCUAAGACACUCAAAAUUAUGAACACAGACCACCUUUGAACUAGAUGUGAUAUAUAUCCACAUCAAAUUAGCCAAAAAGUUUAUAGAUUUGUAUUUUCUUUUGACACACUUUGAAAUGACAUUAUUUUUAACACGACACUCCAUUUUGACCUUUGUAACUGGAUAUCCUAAACUAUCUGGCAUUCCACUUGCACUCUAGGAUGGUAGGCUGUGCACUGGUUUGGUGGACCUCUGUUUUUAUUGCAGUUCUAGAUUUGGAGCCUACAGCCUGAUUCCAAUCCGGCCAAGCCCAUAUCUUUUGGACCUGGGGCCUCCCCUAACCCUUGACUGCCCAACAACUCAGAUUCAAACCCAAGCCCACCAGAGAAACUUUUAAAACCUGUGUCUUCCAAACACGUCAUUCCUUUGUCAGUUGUUCCCUUCUUAAUACCGCUUAUAAAAUCCCCCAUUUUGUAGCUUUCUCAACUGUUGUAGCCUCACCUGUCUUCUCCUUGGUGUUUGAACACGACAUGUCCAUAUCUAUAGAAUGUAGAGGUUGCACCUUCUUUCCCACCCUUGUGCUGGUGCGUGAGCCACCCAUCAUAUUAGCCCUAACAUCCAUCUCACCAUGCUCACUGCUACAUCUUCUUGGCACAACUAGCCAAAAACAGGGUGUCACUUCCCACCACAACUGAAAGGAGAAGUUGGAACUACCUACUACAACUUGCAGCGCACCAUGCAUAUUGCUUCUAGAACUAAACUGAUAUUUGAGAGAAGAAAAAAAACAGAAAUUCAUGCUAUGAUGGAAAACUAGCAUGCUGCCAGCCCCACCCACCCAAAUAUGAUCAAACUACAACACAAAGCAAGCCAUUCCUCUUCCAACUGGUGCUGCAAACCACUAUUCCCUCUUUUCCCUUCACCACCCAAACGAAAAAAUCCAAUGGCAAUAGGAUUAAAUGGUACAACAAGUAGUCCUUCAAAGUGGAGAAAAAAAAAACAGAGUGGAAUACAACAAUUGCCUGUAACAUCCUAUCAAGUCAAUGAAAAAAAAUAACAAAAAUGCAUUGUAUUUAUUUGGGAUACCAUCUCCCUGAUUUGUCAUCCCAAAAUAAUUUCCCUGUCUAUGAAAGAAUAAUAUUAGAUAUUUGGAACAAUGAAAACCUUUCCAUUUGUCUUCAUCUGUACUAAUCUAUUCAAGUAUGAGGAAAACAACAUUAGUUGAGAGAGAGAUUUACCUGUAACUCUAUGAUGCUCUAUAGUAGAUUUUGACAAUGGUGCUCUCCCAUGGAAGUUAAGCAUGACCAUUCCAAUGGAUUAAGGCAUUUUAGUGGUGGACUUUAGUGAGAGCUCUAGGGUUUCGGGGUUUGUUGAGUUGGGAAAUGGUGGAAGAAAUGUUCGGCGGGUACUCGUAUAAAGGGAAAAACUUUUAGUUAAUAUAUAUUCGGAACAUAUAUAUAUAUAUAUAUACUAUUAUUUAAUGUCACCUGAUAUAAACGCCAAUGUAAAAUAUCACAACUAUGACACUGCUAUAAAGCGUCAUGGCAUAACUAGUUAUUCUUAUAAAGGCCACAUCAAGCAAUGAUACUUUAAAUAAGCGUCAUGAAAUAAAAAAACUACUGUAAAAAAUAACCCCUUUGAAAAGCGCCAUUGUAUAUCCCAAUAUAACGAUACUUUAUGAAAGCGCCAAGGAUUAAAGCGUCGGAAUUUUCUAUUUUUGUAGUAGUGAAUUUAGUUCAAGGUUUAAAUUAAAAGUGUGAAAUCAAGGUUUGGUUAAUCUCGAUUUUGAUAAUAACAAAAUAAAGUUUGGAACUAAUGAUUAUAUUUCAAGUGUGAUUAGACAAGAAGAUUUUCAAAGUGGCAAUCACAAAGACAAAAUCAAGCUAAAGAGAAAUCAAUAAGAAGAAGAAUAGCUCAAAGAGAAGUGUUUUUCAAAACCUAAGUAGUAUAGGAUUUCUUUGUAAGAUUGAUGGCGCACUAGGGUUUUCACUAGGUUUUUCAUGUAUUACAUUAUUUAUUUAUGCACUAAAAUAUUCAAGAGUUAUUUUGUUUUAAAUAUUUUAAAAUUGGAUAAUUUCAUGUUUUUAACUAAAACUUUGUGUUAAAUGCUUUCCAAUAUUGUUUAAAAGGUUUUAAGUUGAAAUUGAUGGUUGUUGAGCAAAAAAUGGCUCAACUAGUUGAACUAGAUGAGGAAUCGGUUGAACCGGAUGAGGAACCGGUCGACCUGUUCAACUUAAUCGGUCGACCUGUUCAACUUAAUCGGUCAACCUGUUUAGCUCAACUGGUCAAGGGGUGCAAAAACCUUCUCUCUCUUUCAAAAUGUUUGUUCAACCGAUUGAGGUUGGACCUCAACCGAUCAAAAGAUAAAAUUUUAAAAUAAAAUCCAAAUAGGUAAAUCUUUAGUAACAAUUGUUGGGUGUUAUUUGGUAGAAAUUUUUUUGGAUACUUAUUCGGUACAUAUUGAUCUUAUAAUCGGUAAUACAAAUAUAUAAAACCAAAAUACAAGAAAACAAGAUCAAUUACACAUGAAUAAGA
rnacentral:lncRNA from 1 species